CCUACGGGAGGCAGCAGUGGGGAAUAUUGGGCAAUGGAGGAAACUCUGACCCAGCAAUGCCGCGUGAAUGAAGAAGGUCCUCGGAUUGUAAAGCUCUUUAGUCAGGGAAGAAGAAAAUGACGGUACCUGAAGAAUAAGCUUCGGCUAACUACGUGCCAGCAGCCGCGGUAAUACGUAGGGAGCAAGCGUUGUUCGGAAUGACUGGGCGUAAAGGGUGCGUAGGCGGUUAUACAAGUUCGAAGUGUAAUACCCAGGGCUUAACUCGGGUGCUGCUUCUAAAACUGUAAGACUUGAGUGCAGUAGAGGUUAGUGGAAUGCGUGGUGUAGCGGUGGAAUGCGUAGAUAUUAGGAAGAACACC
rnacentral:rRNA from 1 species